rnacentral:tRNA from 1 species
UCCCUGGUGGUCCAGUGAUUAGGACUCAUAUUCUCACUGCAGAGGGCUCAGGUUCAAACCCUGGUCAGGGAA